AAAAAGGACAUCGCACUCUACCUCUGCCGAAGAAAAAUCGUACCAGAACAGCCCGGACCGGGAUUGGAAAGGCGCCUCCGACCCCAUCUCCUGUGACCUGCUGGACAGAGACCGGGAGCCUUCGGACUGCUCUGACGACGUGAAUUCGGGCGAGGUCCGAAGUGGGUGUCAGCGCGGCACGUGAAACCGUUCCGGACGCAAGAGCAGGAAAGCACCGGUUCCGGAAGCAGAGAGACGAGUACUCAGACAGAAGAGGAAGUUGAAGUUACAAACAGCAGUUUGGAGAAGACAAAAGAAUAAAAA